UAUUAUCUUCAACAAAGAUGUUAAAGAAAAAUCCUGUUAUCUUUUUCUCUCUCCUUUUCUCUUUUUUCUUAAUCUUUGCUAAUUUAUUUCGAAUUGCAACACCUGCAAGGAGCACAACCCUUGUGUUCCAGACCAGUGGUAGAUCCAGACUACUUGGUAAGUGCUUCACUAACUUUCUGCUUACUUCUCAUUAGUUUUGUCUCAUCUAAUAAAGAACAAUUUAGUUGCCAUUCUUUCAUAUGUGUUUGCUUUCGAGCCUUUCUUGUCAGUAUGGCCUCAGUUAGUGCCUGAUGCUCGCUCAAGACAUUUUCUCUAUCUUUUCUGAUUGUAGACAUAUCGGACACUAAGCUUCCGGUUACCGGAAGCCGCUCACCACACGCAAAACAAAGUUCCCCGGGUUCUGGCCAGCAAAAAAAACGUUCCCCGGGUUUUAAAGGACCGGCUCUUCCGUAAUCAGGUCCAAGAUGAAUGGAUGCAGUAGAUCAUAUAUAUUUGGAGAUUAUAUAGACUUCGAAUGAGCAUGUUUUUACUCCUGUCUUAACUCUAAUCCUUUAGUUUGUUAGUACAAAUGGAAUAAGAAUGACCAAGAAAUCAAUAAAUACUGUUUCAGGUUAUGCACCAAUCCGAGUGCCUAAUUUCUGUAGAAAAUGAAGUUUGUGGUAGUUCUGAUAACUAUAGCUGAGAUACACAAUUAACAUCUGAUCACCACGUCAUUCUUUUACGGUCAAAUGGACUAAAGAGUUCGACCGGGAUUCAAGUGUCACAAAAUGGAAGUUUUUAAGACUGCAUUUGACAAAAAAAGGC
rnacentral:lncRNA from 1 species